GCAAGCAAUUACACUAGACAGCUGUUGAAAUCCAUUGUGGGUCCAACGUUACUUUAGAUUGGUAAAUAAUAAUUUUUAUUUUACUCUUGUACCGGAAUAUCAUAUUUUGCAUAAUCUGCAGUGUAUAAGAGUUCGUUUUGUAAUAUUUAUGCCAGAUGGUCAUGUCAGCCUGCUGAUACUUUCAGAUUGACAUGAGGAAGUUAGCUUUUUGCCAGCUGGAUAUCAGUGCUCUCAGAACCACGUUGUGGAGUUGAUGAGUACAUUAUUUGAAGCGCCGUGAAUGGUGGAUGUGACUUCCUGUCUGUAGCCCAUGUGACUGAUGACAAAGUGGAGUUUCUCCCUCCUCAUGAGACAACAGACACACAUGUCAUAAUAAAUAUCACUGGAUCCUCUGCUUAUGGUGAUGUCACGGAUGAUGAUGCUCCCAUCUCCCCUAUCCACAGGCUUCUGUUAUUCUACCAACCGUUUCUCUGAAGAGAGGUCCAUCCUGAAUGUGUUGUUACCUCCCUGAUCACAACAUUUCUGGGAAGCAAGCAUGAGUAAGGUUUUCAAAUCCCACUUCUAUCUGGCUGGAAUUCCAUCAAGCUGGGAGUGUCAAAGACAUAAAAUAGAAAAAGUACAUGAUGGGCAAGUGAUUUAGCUUGGAGUUUGCACAACAUGUGUAUUUGAUUGAAGCACAAAUGUAUCUGUCCAUUGUCGAUUCUCAAGGUGCAAUAGGAGAGGAAGGGAAGGAAUGGAAACAAAGAAACCAUUGAAACAAAUCCUCACUGCAAUCUAACCCUGAAGAAAGCAUACAUCCUCUCCACAGAUAUUACAGAUGGAUAUAGGAUCACCCCAACAGUAAUUAAUAUCUAUAAGUCAAAAAGAGAUUACAACUUCAGAUAUUUCUUUAACUGUGAGCUCAGUAUCUUCACACUUCAUGUAAGAUUGUAGAUACUGACUCUGGCUUUGUGUUCCAGACAGCAGAAUUUAUGGAUUUCAAAUCCUAUGAAAACUACUUCCCCACAUUUCAGUUGUCAUGAUUGAUUGCCAACAAGGGUUUUGUCACCAAGUACUAAGUCAUGUUUUGCAGAGG
rnacentral:lncRNA from 1 species